rnacentral:tRNA from 1 species
GCCCGGAUGGCGGAACUGGUAGACGCGCAGGACUUAAAAUCCUGUUGGGAUAAUAUCUCAGUGCCGGUUCGAUUCCGGCUCCGGGCACGA